CUGAGUUGGCUUGUAUGAAAAAGCUCUGAAGGCUAAAAUUCGGCUGCCUUUCCACUACCUCAUAGUGGAAUUUCUUAAGUUAUAUAGGGUAAGUUUCUGUAGUAUUACGUCGAACUCAUAGCUGCAGAUCAUAGGUUUUUUUGCUUAUUGCCUUCUCCUCAGGGUCGAACCGACCUUCCAUCUUCUUCGGGCCUCCUUCAUACUAAAAGAGCAUCCCAAAGAGAAUGGAUGGUGGUAUGCCUCUCCUCAUGGGGAUGCCGUCUCUUCCGAAGUUCUCUUACUUCAUUGCAUAACUGGAAGGAGCGUUUCUUCUUUGUCUCGAUCUAGCAAUCUUGGGA
rnacentral:lncRNA from 1 species